GUAUCAUGUAUGCUUCAACACUUAGAUUGUCAGCUUAUAUUCUGUUUAUCUGAAUGGAGCAUGAUAAUUUGUGUAAGAUCUAUUUAGGUAUCCUUGAAGAUUUGAUCCAAGAUUUAUACUGUGAAACCAAAGAUUCAUGAACAGAAUUAAAGAGCCGAGAUCAUCCAUAUGUGU